UCCCUCGCGAGGGGGAAUCUGAAGGAAGCCCGAAGCAAAACACUGGCUCGACGGGGCGCCUAGCCGAACAGGAAGCUGAUACGAGGAGCGCUUGCUGCGUCUGAUCCGCCGCUACCUGGAAGCGGGCUUGUUCCAGCACGGCUUACCAAUGUUGAGAAGGUAGGGGGC
rnacentral:ncRNA from 7 species